UGGGGAAUAUUGGACAAUGGGCGAAAGCCUGAUCCAGCGACGCCGCGUGGGUGAUGAAGGCCUUCGGGUUGUAAAGCCCUGUGGGCAGGGAAGAAAACGUUGCGGUCAAAUAGGCCGCGACCUUGACGGUACCUGCUCAGAAAGCACCGGCUAACUCUGUGCCAGCAGCCGCGGUAAGACAGAGGGUGCAAACGUUGCUCGGAAUUACUGGGCGUAAAGCGCGUGUAGGCGGGUCGGUGUGUCGGGUGUGAAAUCCCCAGGCUCAACCUGGGAACUGCAUUCGAAACUACCGGCCUAGAGUGGUGGAGAGGGAAGUGGAAUUCCUGGUGUAGAGGUGAAAUUCGUAGAUAUCAGGAGGAACACCAGUGGCGAAGGCGGCUUCCUGGACACCAACUGACGCUGAGACGCGAAAGCGUGGGGAGCAAACAG
rnacentral:rRNA from 1 species